AGAGUUUGAUCAUGGCUCAGGACGAACGCUGGCGGCGUGCUUAACACAUGCAAGUCGAACGAGGUCCAUCCUUCGGGAGAAGACCUAGUGGCGAACGGGUGAGUAACACGUGAGCAACCUGCCCCGAAGACCGGGAUAACAGCGGGAAACCGCUGCUAAUACCGGAUGUCCCCAUCUGACCGCAUGGCUGGAUGAGGAAA
rnacentral:rRNA from 1 species